UACGUAGGGGGCAAGCGUUGUCCGGAUUUAUUGGGCGUAAAGAGCGUGUAGGCGGCCUGGAAGGUCAGCUGUGAAAACUCGAGGCUCAACCUCGAGACGUCGGUUGAAACCACCUGGCUAGAGUCCGGAAGAGGAGAGUGGAAUUCCCGGUGUGGCGGUGAAAUGCGCAGAUAUCGGGAAGAACACCCGUGGCGAAGGCGGCUCUCUGGGACGGUACUGACGCUGAGACGCGAAAGCGUGGGGAGCGAACAGG
rnacentral:rRNA from 1 species